UAGCGGCGCACGGGUGAGUAACGCGUGGAUAAUCUGCCUGUAAGACAGGGAUAACGCCGGGAAACCGGUGCUAAUACCCGAUAACCUCUUUGAAUCGCAUGAUUUAAAGAGAAAAGGUGGCCUCUUUACAAUGCUACCACUUACAGAUGAAUCCGCGUCCCAUUAGCCAGUUGGUGGGGUAAUGGCCUACCAAAGCAACGAUGGGUAGCCGGCCUGAGAGGGUGACCGGCCACACUGGAACUGAGAUACGGUCCAGACUCCUACGGGAGGCAGCAGUGGGGAAUCUUCCGCAAUGGGCGAAAGCCUGACGGAGCAACGCCGCGUGAGCGAAGAAGGUCUUCGGAUUGUAAAGCUCUGUGAUAUUGGACGAACAAUUUCCCGUAAAUAAUGGGAAGGAAUGACGGUACAAUAAGAGGAAGCCACGGCUAACUACGUGCCAGCAGCCGCGGUAAUACGGAGGGGUGCAAGCGUUGUUCGGAAUUAUUGGGCGUAAAGCGCGUGUAGGCGGUUUGUUAAGUCUGGUGUGAAAGCCCUGGGCUCAACCUGGGAAGUGCAUUGGAUACUGGCAAACUUGAGUACGGGAGAGGAUAGUGGAAUUUCGAGUGUAGGGGUGAAAUCCGUAGAUAUUCGAAGGAACACCGGUGGCGAAGGCGGCUAUCUGGACCGAUACUGACGCUGAGACGCGAAAGCGUGGGGAGCAAACAGGAUUAGAUACCCUGGUAGUCCACGCUGUAAACGAUGAUUACUAAGUGUUGGAGCAAUUCAGUGCUGCAGUUAACGCAAUAAGUAAUCCGCCUGGGGAGUAUGCACGCAAGUGUGAAACUCAAAGGAAUUGACGGGGGCCCGCACAAGCGGUGGAGUAUGUGGUUUAAUUCGAAGCAACGCGAAGAACCUUACCAAGUCUUGACAUACCGUGCAAAACCCUGGAGACAGGGGAAUAGUUAUGGCGGAUACAGGUGGUGCAUGGUUGUCGUCAGCUCGUGUCGUGAGAUGUUGGGUUAAGUCCCGCAACGAGCGCAACCCUUGCCUUUAGUUACCAGCAUUCAGUUGGGGACUCUAGAGGGACUGCCGGUGACAAACCGGAGGAAGGUGGGGAUGACGUCAAAUCAUCAUGCCCCUUAUGACUUGGGCUACACACGUACUACAAUGGCGUAUACAGAGAGACGCGAAGUGGCGACAUGGAGCAAAUCUCACAAAGUACGUCUCAGUUCAGAUUGAAGUCUGCAACUCGACUUCAUGAAGUUGGAAUCGCUAGUAAUCGCGGAUCAGCAUGCCGCGGUGAAUACGUUCUCGGGCCUUGUACACACCGCCCGUCAAACCAUGAGAGUUGGUAAUACCCGAAGCCGGUGGCCUAACCGCAAGG
rnacentral:rRNA from 1 species